rnacentral:tRNA from 18 species
GCCUUGAUGGUGAAAUGGUAGACACGCGAGAUUCAAAAUCUUGUGCUAUAAAGCAUGGAGGUUCGAGUCCUCUUCAAGGCA